AUAAAUGCAGAAAAGAAAAAAAAAUCCUAUUUAUGCAUAUAUACGCAGAUUUAGUACAUACAUAAAUGUAAAAAAGUGAACAUGCCAGCUUGUAAAAAAAAAAAAAAUACAACGAAUCGAAACAGAGCGAAACAAAGCGAAACAAAGCGAAACACGAUGUUAUACGAAAAUAACCUGAAGGCAUCGCCCCCCCCCCCCCCCUAAUGUGAUGUAGUAAAUAGUUACAUAUGUACUACGCGUUAAUACAUACAUACAAGGAAGAACAAACAUGUACAUAUUACGGUUUAAAAUUUAAAAAAAAAAAAAAAAAUUAAAAUACAAAGUAGAAAAUAUAAAGUACAAAAUACAAAGUAGAAAAUAUAAAGUACAAAAUACAAAGUAGAAAAUAUAAAGUACAAAAUACAAAGUAGAAAAUAUAAAGUACAAAAUACAAAGUACAAAAUACAAAAUACAAAAAAAGAUGAAACAACGUGUAAUGCUGUUGAAAUUGCGCUUGAAUAACAAAUUUGUUGCAUUCAAAAACGUACCACAUUUCAAACAAUUUUAUACAAAUACUACUACUGCUACUACUAGUACUAGUACUAGUACUAGUACUACUAACAAUGGCGAUGCGUCAUCAGUAGCUGGAGAAAAUAAAGAAUUGUUUAAAAUUUCGUGUCUGGUUCCGUAUAAAAAUGAUAAUGUAUUAUCUAUGGAAAAAAUAUACGAUAACACAUAUAGACACGUGUUUAGCGAAUAUAGUAUUCAAAUUGAAUCUAGCUUGCUUUAUCUUUAUAAUUUAUUAAUUAAAAGUAGAACGAUCGAACAAAUAAAGUUAGAAAUACAAAAAUCCUACUGUGCGUAUGAAACUAAUUUUAUAAACAUGAUUAAAAAUAUAAAAUGGUCUGCUUACAUUCCUUUUAGUAGUAUUUAUAUAGAACCACAAAUAACUAUUAAAAGUAUAAAAUCAAGAUUAUAUCAUACAUAUAUGUUAAAAAAUAUUAUUAUAAAUGUUAUAAAAAAACAACAACAAAUAUAUAUAGAAAAACAUGGUGAUAUAAAUAUAUUAUUAAAAAAAAAAAAAAUCGAUCCUUAUACAAUUAAACCAUUAAAAAUAUAUGUACUUUUAAAAUAUAAUGAAUUAACUGUAAGUAUAGACAUAAGUAAUGACUUGAACAAACGUAUAUAUGAAAAAUAUAAUAACCAAAAUACUUUAAAAAGUACUAUAAUCGCUUCAGCUAUUUAUAAAAUUAAUUUUUUUAAAUAUAUAAAUGUAUCUAAAAAUCUAUACAUAAUUGAUCCUUUUUGUAAUGAUGCUACUAUACUUAUAGAAUUAAUUAAUAUUUUAUUAUUAUUACCUAACGGAUCUCCUAAUAUUAACUAUCCUAUUUUGACAUGUCCAUUGCAUUCACCUACUAUAUAUUACAACAUUUGGAAUAAUAUAAACAUUUGUACUACUAAAGAUUUAGCUAAUAUCUACUUACUUGGUAUAUGUGAAAAUAAUGAAUUUCUAGAAAAAUCAAAGACAAAUUUUGCUAACUUUGUUAGUACUAUGCCAGUAAGUGUUAGUGAAGAAAACGAUUAUACCAUGUUUCCAUUUGCUGAUGACAAUGCUACUACUAAUUCUACUACUGCUACUACCAGUUAUAGUGGCACUAGUAACAAACAUAACAAACAAAGAAAUCGUGAAAAUCGUAACAAAAAAGAUGCACAAAGCAAUGAUACGUAUAAACAAGUUAAAACUGAUAGUAGUUUUUUUUUAAACGAUAUAACUUCUAUUAACACACAAGAACUUAGUCAGAUUUUUUUAUCUACAAGUGAAUCGGUUUUAAAAGAAAACAUAAAUGCUAAUGGUGGUUGUGGUAGUGGUAGUGGUGGUAGUAGUAGUGGUAGUAACUUUUUUUUUAAAAAUAUAAAGUUUUGCCAGCUGAAUUUAUCAAAACUUAACAACAUAGCAGCAAAUUGUAUUAUAAUAACAAACAUUAUAAAUAAAGAAAAAAAAAAAAUUAUACAAUUCGAACGACUAUUACUGAAAUCCAACUUUAUAAGUGCUUAUGUAUUUGCUCAAGAAAACUACAAAGAAAAAACACAAAUACAAUUUAAAAUAAUAUUAAGGUUUAUUUCACAUGGUCAUAGUAUUAUACUUCUUCAACUGUUUAAUAAAACUAGGAAAAAAAUAUAUGAUGAGUUUGAUGAAUAAG
rnacentral:lncRNA from 1 species